rnacentral:rRNA from 1 species
GAGUUUGAUCCUGGCUCAGAUUGAACGCUGGCGGCAUGCCUUACACAUGCAAGUCGAACGGCAGCACGGGGGCACCCUGGUGGCGAGUGGCGAACGGGUGAGUAAUAUAUCGGAACGUGCCCUAGAGUGGGGGAUAACGUAGCGAAAGUUACGCUAAUACCGCAUACGAUCUACGGAUGAAAGUGGGGGAUCGCAAGACCUCAUGCUCUUGGAGCGGCCGAUAUCUGAUUAGCUAGUUGGUAGGGUAAUGGCCUACCAAGGCGACGAUCGGUAGCCGGCCUGAGAGGGUGAUCGGCCACACUGGAACUGAGACACGGUCCAGACUCCUACGGGAGGCAGCAGUGGGGAAUUUUGCGCAAUGGGCUAACGCCUGACGCAGCAACGCCGCGUGGAGGAUGAAGGUCUUUGGAUUGUAAACUCCUGUCAGCAGGGAAAAAGCGACUCGGUCUAACACACCGGGGAGUUGAUUGUACCUGCAGAGGAAGCCCCGGCUAACUCUGUGCCAGCAGCCGCGGUAAUACAGAGGGGGCAAGCGUUAUUCGGAAUUAUUGGGCGUAAAGGGCGCGUAGGCGGCCUUGCAAGUGGAUGGUGAAAUCCCUCGGCUUAACCGAGGAACUGCCGUCCAAACUGCUCGGCUUGAGACCAGGAGAGGUGAGUGGAAUUCCCAGUGUAGCGGUGAAAUGCGUAGAUAUUGGGAGGAACACCUGUGGUGUAGACGGCUCUCUGGACCGCAACUGACGCUGAGACACGAAAGCGUGGGUAGCAAACAGGAUUAGAUACCCUGGUAGUCCACGCCCUAAACGAUGCAUAUUUGGUGUAGGUCAUUCAGUUGAUCUGUGCCGGAGCUAACGCGUUAAAUAUGCCGCCUGGGGAGUACAGUCGCAAGGCUGAAACUCAAAGGAAUUGACGGGGGCCCGCACAAGCGGUGGAGCAUGUGGUUCAAUUCGACGCAACGCGAAGAACCUUACCUGGGCUCGAACGGCUCACGAAAAGCUGUGGAAACACGGUUUUCCCGCAAGGGACGGGAGUCGAGGUGCUGCAUGGCUGUCGUCAGCUCGUGUCGUGAGAUGUUGGGUUAAGUCCCGCAACGAGCGCAACCCUUGUCCUGUGUUACCAUCAUUUAGUUGGGAACUCGCAGGAGACCGCCAGCGAUAAGCUGGAGGAAGGUGGGGAUGACGUCAAGUCCUCAUGGCCUUUAUGUCCAGGGCUACACAUGUGCUACAAUGGCCGGUACAAUGCGCUGCCAACCCGCAAGGGGGAGCCAAUCGCAAAAAACCGGUCUCAGUUCGGAUUGCAGGCUGCAACUCGCCUGCAUGAAGCUGGAAUCGCUAGUAUGCCGUAUCAGAACGAUGGCGUGAAUACGUUCCCGGGCCUUGUACACAC